GAGCUAGGGCUUGAGGAAGGAGAACCAUAAGAGAGUUGCUUGCUUUCUUUUGCUAGAAUUAUAAGGUAGGAGAGAUUAUUCAUAUAAGGAUGGAUUAAUCUUGAAAGCUUAGAGGGUUACCCUUAACUGAUGUGAAAUUUGAUAAAUGAUGGGUGUGAUUCUAUUUUAUACCAUGAACUGAUGUGAAAUUUUUAUUUAACGUUGUGAUGUUUCAUGUUCAUGAGUUAAAUGAUUAGAUGAUAACUUGCAUUGCAGUUAGGUGUUUUAGGGUGUGAGUAUAAAUUAAUCAAUUCAUGAUAAGAAUGAU
rnacentral:lncRNA from 1 species